rnacentral:lncRNA from 1 species
AGACAUUCUACUCACAAAGCCCUUCCUUGCAAAAACUAUGCACAACCAAAGAGAAAAAGCCAAGAAAAUGAUUGAUCCCACAUGACCCCAAGAUUGUAAAAGAUUGAGGGAAUUCUUAUUUCUUUUUUCUUUUUAAUGAUCUUUUGUCUCUCUCUCUCUCUCUCUCUCUCUCUCUCUCUCUGUGUUUUACAUCGAAUUUGGCUCUGAAAUUUGAUAGAACUCUCUCUUCCUCUCUCUUCUCUCUCUCUCCUCAUUCCAUGCAAAUUUGUCUCUGAAAUCAGUAAAAAAAGAAAGGUUUCCAAGAAACAUUGUCACUUAUUGCACCAAAUUUAUACGAGGGCUACAAAAACCAAUGCAUAUUGACUCUUCCUUUACAAUUAACUUUGCUGCUGCAAACUCCAAGGCCAAAAGCUAUACUUUAUAAACAUUCUCAGCAAUAGAAUUUUCUAGUUUUCAACUCCACAUUUAUAGCUCAAAAUUUAUUUUCUGUGGGCUAUUUGUUUCAUAUAAGAAGUUAAAGUUCUGUUUCUAUUAUUUGGAUGCCAUGCCAUGACUUGGGCUAAAUAGCGUUGGAAGAAUCAGUGCUAAGGAAAAGAAAUUCGAGAGAAAAAGACAACUCGACUCCUAGCUGUUUUGGACAGAGAGACCAACUGGCUCCUUUUGCGGUCAGGCAUAAAUUAGUCAGUACUCCCCUCCAACAUCAACCGGGCUUAAACCAUUUCGCAUCUCUUCUUCGCCGACCGUCUUCGUCUUUCUCAACAAACAUAUGGGGCUGGGAAGAGUGUUGGUUUGCUUGUUUCUUCUUCUGAUUUUGCUAUUAUAUGUGGAAGCUCCAUAUUAUGGAGGUGGGAAUGGCAGAUUCAAAGGCAGUUCUUGUUCUGGUUCUGCUAAAAAAGCUCACAAAAAUGGCUUCAAGGGGAAUCCAGAAAAGGAUUGUGCUGAGAAUUUUGGUGCAGAAAAGAGAAGAGUCUACACAGGUCCAAAUCCUUUACACAACAGAUAAGUAUGCAAACGAAAGCAAGCUUGAUUCUCUCACUCAAGCCAUGAAAUUUUCUUUUAAAAAUUUAUAGUAUUUUUGGUCGCGACAUGUUGGCUCCUGUUCAUAAGAGUGACCGAUCUUGUAAAACACGUCAGGGGAGAGACAGGUAGACCGAAAUUAAUAUGGCUGGUCGAAGUUGUUAAGGAUCUUGUUGUUUCAAAUCUUCAUGUAAAUCUAACAUUGAAAUGGUGAAAAAUGAUUUAUAUGCAAAAUUAAUGUUUUGUUUAUUGUUUCUUCUCCACAUUACUGAAAAUUUUAUUUGAAAAAAUGAUAAAUAUUUUUUAGGUCACCUUUCUGUUACUAUUAAUAAAUACCAUUAAUGUGUGGUUGUUGGUGUGAUGAAUAUAUGUCUGAUAGUUUUUCCAGUUGGUUGGUAUUUGUAGUUCCUCUUAUAGUAU